rnacentral:lncRNA from 10 species
CACAGACUCUAAUAUUCACUGACAUAAAGUUUCAGAAAGGGCAAAAUUAAUCUCUGGUGACAGGGGCCAGAACAGUGAUGACCUGGGGUGGGGUGUGGGUUGGUCUCUCCUGUGAGGUUUGGAAGGGCAGGUACACACGCGUGUGCACUUACCAAAACCUACUGCACUGUGCAUCCGACUGCACUGAUGUCCCUGGCUUCUUUGAGGCAACUUGGGUGACAGGCCAUCCUGAGCCAGUCAUGUCUUGCCCUCCCACUCAGGGCAGGCAGGAUGGGCUGUCUCAAUGGCCCCCAAAGCCUGGAAGGCUGGAAGGGUGGCAAGGAGGAAACCCACAGUGGGUAGAGUUACAGGGGUCAGAAGUGGGGGCCACUGCCUGCUGGGGAAGGCCACUGGAGGAAGCUGGGGCAGAAUGGGAGGGAAGCUGGCCCCUCACAUGAAUACGGGGAAUUAGGAAGUGUUUUCUCCUCCACAAUGUUUGGGAGAAUUUGGGGAUUUAUGUCCAUUCUUUAGCAUUUGGUAGAAUUCACCAUCUGGUCCUGGGCUUUUCUUUUGUUGGGAAGCUUUUGAUGACUGGUUCUACCUAUGUGUUUUAGGUUGGUUCAGAUUUUUUCCUUUUUCUUCUUUUUUUGAGGUCAGGUCUCUGUCUCUGCCUCAUUCCUGGCUGGAGUGCAGUGGUGCUGUCAUAGGUCGUUGCAGCUUUGAACUCCUGGGCUCUAGCUAUCCUCCUGCUUCAGCCUCCCAAGUAGCUGGGGCUACAGGCACGUGCCAUGACACCUGGUUGAUUUCUAAAGAUUUUGUCGAGGCAGGGUCUCUGUUGCCCAGGCUGGUCUCGAACUCCUGGCCUCAGGCCAUCCUCCUAACUAGUUCUCCCCAAGUGCUGGGAUCACAGGUGUGAGCCACUGCACCUGGCCCUGUUCAGAUUUUCUAUUUUUCCUGGGACAAUUUUGGUCAUUUGUAUCUUUCUAGGAAUUUUUUUUCUGGUCAGCCUUUUGGUUUUUAUGUAAUACUUGGCACAUUCACAAGAAAAUGUGUGAAACAGAAAGUACGACAAAGUGAAACCCACGAAGCCACCACUGACCCUGAGGUUCAAAACCUCCAGCAUCUCUGCUCUUCCCUAAGCACAGCUCCGUCCCCUCCCCACGGGUGAGCACUGUGUUGUACUGACUCCCUGCCCUCCCUGAUGACUUUAGCACCUGGGUAUGAAUUCCACACAUAUUUGGUUUUGAGCUUUAUAAAAAUGGCAUCAUACUGUAUGAACUGUCUUGCUUUUUCAUCCCACGUUGUUUCUGAGAGGUGUUUGUGAUGGAGCACAGGGCCAC